GAUCUAUUCCCUCCGUUUCAUAAUUCUUGUCGAAAUAUUACAUGUAUCUAGAAGUUUUUUAUGAAUAGAUACAUUCAUUUUUGACAAAUUUAAGACAAGAAUUAUGAGACGUAGGGAGUACGGA
rfam:Brachypodium distachyon strain Bd21 chromosome 3, whole genome shotgun sequence.